UGUAGCAAGCUUAUUUACCAAAAUCAUAAUUCACUGACAAUUAUCGACCAAUAACUGAUGCGUCACGUGAUUUGUAUUUAUCUCGUUGAGUUCGAUUCAAUUCCAAAAUCACACAUAGAUAUGUCACGAACGAUUCCCUUAUCCAAAUAAGUACAAGCAAGUAGAAAUCAUGUCUAAUGUAAUUUCACUAUAAAUCUUUCCGUCUGCGGAAAAAAAUAAAAUUAAAUAAAUCAAUAUUGACGUAAAAAUAAUUAGCUGGAAUCUGUGUUAUUCUAAUCAAUAAAAAACGUUGCGAAUAUACAAUUCAGCUGUCACGAGACAUUGCCCACACGUUAUGAAAUUUCGACGAGAAGAUAUAUGAGAUUUCUUUGAUUGAAUCAUUCGUCGGUGCUCAACACACAUAUGUAAUUGUUUCUCGAUCUAACGAACGAACGAACGAAGGACCGGGAGUAUGGACGCUACAAAUUAAUCAGAGAAAGGCCUGGGCAAUGGACAACACG